rnacentral:rRNA from 1 species
AACGUAGGUGGCAAGCGUUAUCCGGAUUCACUGGGCGUAAAGCGAGUGCAGGUGGCUUCGUAAGUUGGAUGUGAAAUUUCCCGGCUUAACCGGGAGGGGUCAUUCAAUACUGCGGGGCUUGAGGGCAGAAGAGGGGGGUGGAAUUGCCGGUGUAGUGGUGAAAUGCGUAGAUAUCGGCAGGAACACCUGUGGCGAAAGCGGCCCCCUGGUCUGAUCCUGACACUCAGACUCGAAAGCUAGGGUAG